rnacentral:rRNA from 1 species
CCUACGGGAGGCAGCAGUGGGGAAUAUUGCACAAUGGGGGAAACCCUGAUGCAGCGAAGCCGCGUGAGUGAAGAAGGAAUUCGGUAUGUAAAGCUCUAUCAGCAGGGAAGAAAAUGACGGUACCUGAGUAAGAAGCCCCGGCUAACUACGUGCCAGCAGCCGCGGUAAUACGUAGGGGGCAAGCGUUAUCCGGAUUUACUGGGUGUAAAGGGAGCGUAGACGGCAGUGCAAGUCUGGAGUGAAAGGCGGGGGCUCAACCCCCGGACUGCUCUGGAAACUGUACGGCUGGAGUGCAGGAGAGGUAAGUGGAAUUCCUAGUGUAGCGGUGAAAUGCGUAGAUAUUAGGAGGAACACCAGUGGCGAAGGCGGCUUACUGGACUGUAACUGACGUUGUGGCUCGAAAGCGUGGGGAGCAAACAGGAUUAGAUACCCCAGUAGUC